rnacentral:rRNA from 1 species
AUUGAACGCUGGCGGCAUGCCUUACACAUGCAAGUCGAACGGCAGCACGGGAGCUUGCUCCUGGUGGCGAGUGGCGAACGGGUGAGUAAUACAUCGGAACGUACCCUGAAGUGAGGGAUAACGUAGCGAAAGUUACGCUAAUACCGCAUAUUCUGUGAGCAGGAAAGAGGGGGAUCGCAAGACCUCUUGCUUUAGGAGCGGCCGAUGUCGGAUUAGCUAGUUGGUGAGGUAAAGGCUCACCAAGGCGACGAUCCGUAGCGGGUCUGAGAGGAUGAUCCGCCACACUGGGACUGAGACACGGCCCAGACUCCUACGGGAGGCAGCAGUGGGGAAUUUUGGACAAUGGGCGCAAGCCUGAUCCAGCCAUGCCGCGUGAGUGAAGAAAGCCUUCGGGUUGUAAAGCUCUUUCGGUGGGGAAGAAUUGCUUCGGUUAAUACCUGGAGUAGAUGACGGUACCCGCAUAAGAAGCACCGGCUAACUACGUGCCAGCAGCCG